rnacentral:rRNA from 1 species
ACGCGAAAGGUUCCUUCGGGGACCGAGUAGAGUGGCGCACGGGUGAGUAACACGUAGGUAAUUUGCCUUUGGGUGGGGAAUAACUCAGGGAAACUUGAGCUAAUACCGCAUAAUGCAGCGGCUCGACAUCGAGACAGUUGUUAAAGCGGGGGAUCGCAAGACCUCGCGCCUGAAGAGAAGCCUGCGGCAGAUUAGCUAGUUGGUAGGGUAAUGGCCUACCAAGGCAACGAUCUGUAACCGGCCUAAGAGGGCGGUCGGUCACACUGACACUGACAUACGGGUCAGACUCCUACGGGAGGCAGCAGUCGGGAAUUUUGGGCAAUGGGCGAAAGCCUGACCCAGCAACGCCGCGUGAAGGAUGAAAUCCCUCGGGAUGUAAACUUCGCAAGAAUGGGAAGAAUAAGUAGAAGUUAACACCUUCUAUGAUGACGGUACCAUUUGUAAGCUCCGGCUAACUCCGUGCCAGCAGCCGCGGUAAUACGGGGGGAGCAAGCGUUGUUCGGAUUUACUGGGCGUAAAGGGCGCGUAGGCGGUCGUGACAAGUCACUUGUGAAAUCUCCGGGCUUAACUCGGAACGGUCAAGUGAUACUGUCGGACUAGAGUACAGAAGGGGCAACUGGAAUUCUCGGUGUAGCGGUGAAAUGCGUAGAUAUCGAGAGGAACACCUGCGGCGAAGGCGGGUUGCUGGGCUGAUACUGACGCUG